rnacentral:rRNA from 1 species
CGGGCCAAAGAGGGGGACCUUCGGGCCUCUCGCGUCAGGAUAUGCCUAGGUGGGAUUAGCUAGUUGGUGAGGUAAGGGCUCACCAAGGCGACGAUCCCUAGCUGGUCUGAGAGGAUGAUCAGCCACACUGGAACUGAGACACGGUCCAGACUCCUACGGGAGGCAGCAGUGGGGAAUAUUGCACAAUGGGCGCAAGCCUGAUGCAGCCAUGCCGCGUGUGUGAAGAAGGCCUUCGGGUUGUAAAGCACUUUCAGUCGUGAGGAAGGUAGUGUAGUUAAUAGCUGCAUUAUUUGACGUUAGCGACAGAAGAAGCACCGGCUAACUCCGUGCCAGCAGCCGCGGUAAUACGGAGGGUGCGAGCGUUAAUCGGAAUUACUGGGCGUAAAGCGCAUGCAGGUGGUUUGUUAAGUCAGAUGUGAAAGCCCGGGGCUCAACCUCGGAAUUGCAUUUGAAACUGGCAGACUAGAGUACUGUAGAGGGGGGUAGAAUUUCAGGUGUAGCGGUGAAAUGCGUAGAGAUYUGAAGGAAUACCGGUGGCGAAGGCGGCCCCCUGGACAGAUACUGACACUCAGAUGCGAAAGCGUGGGGAGCAAACAGGAUUAGAUACCCUGGUAGUCCACGCCGUAAACGAUGUYUACUUGGAGGUUGUGGCCUUGAGCCGUGGCUUUCGGAGCUAACGCGUUAAGUAGACCGCCUGGGGAGUACGGUCGCAAGAUUAAAACUCAAAUGAAUUGACGGGGGCCCGCACAAGCGGUGGAGCAUGUGGUUUAAUUCGAUGCAACGCGAAGAACCUUACCUACUCUUGACAUCCAGAGAACUUUCCAGAGAUGGAUUGGUGCCUUCGGGAACUCUGAGACAGGUGCUGCAU